UGCGUAGGUGGCGUGGUAAGUCGGGUGUGAAAUUUCGGAGCUUAACUCCGAAACUGCAUUCGAUACUGCCGUGCUUGAGGACUGGAGAGGGGACUGGAAUUUACGGUGUAGCAGUGAAAUGCGUAGAGAUCGUAAGGAAGACCAGUGGCGAAGGCGGGUCUCUGGACAGUUCCUGACACUGAGGCACGAAGGCUAGGGGGAGCAAACGG
rnacentral:rRNA from 1 species